CCUACGGGCGGCAGCAGUGAGGAAUAUUGGUCAAUGGCCGGAAGGCUGAACCAGCCAAGCCGCGUGAAGGACGAAGGUGCCAAGCAUUGUAAACUUCUUUUGUCAAGGGACAAAAUCAGGCUCGAGAGCCUGACCGAGGGUACUUGAAGAAAAAGCAUCGGCUAACUCCGUGCCAGCAGCCGCGGUAAUACGGAGGAUGCGAGCGUUAUCCGGAUUUAUUGGGUUUAAAGGGUGCGCAGGCGGGCUGUUAAGCCGGCGGUAAAAAUUCAGGGCUCAACCCUGUCGAGCCGUCGGAACUGGCAGCCUUGAGUGGGCGAGAAGUAUGCGGAAUGCGUGGUGUAGCGGUGAAAUGCAUAGAUAUCACGCAGAACGCCGAUUGCGAAGGCAGCAUACCGGCGCCCGACUGACGCUGAGGCACGAAAGCGUGGGGAUCGAACAGGAUUAGAUACCCCAGUAGUC
rnacentral:rRNA from 1 species